CCUACGGGCGGCAGCAGUGGGGAAUAUUGGACAAUGGGGGGAACCCUGAUCCAGCCAUGCCGCGUGUGUGAAGAAGGCCCUCGGGUUGUAAAGCACUUUCAGUGAGGAAGAACGCCUGGUGGUUAAUACCCAUCAGGAAAGACAUCACUCACAGAAGAAGCACCGGCUAACUCCGUGCCAGCAGCCGCGGUAAUACGGAGGGUGCGAGCGUUAAUCGGAAUUACUGGGCGUAAAGCGCGCGUAGGUGGCUUGAUAAGCCGGGUUGUGAAAGCCCCGGGCUCAACCUGGGAACGGCAUCCGGAACUGUCAAGCUAGAGUGCAGGAGAGGAAGGUAGAAUUCCCGGUGUAGCGGUGAAAUGCGUAGAGAUCGGGAGGAAUACCAGUGGCGAAGGCGGCCUUCUGGACUGACACUGACACUGAGGUGCGAAAGCGUGGGUAGCAAACAGGAUUAGAUACCCCUGUAGUC
rnacentral:rRNA from 1 species